rnacentral:misc_RNA from 1 species
CUGCAAUCCUAUGGUUUGCAAUGUGCUUGCUGCAAAUACUGUAGAGGAAAUAUGGAAUGCGUGUUUAUAAUAUACACUCCAGAUAAAUCUGUUGUUUCCUUACCAAUGAGGUUCUGAAGAUAUGAGGGGCAGAAAGAUGGCAAAGAAGCAUCAUUCAGGGUGCGGGACCUUUCGAGCAUACAUUAGCGCCAUUACAAAAUCCUUUGCUGAGGAGCCAAUGGAUGCUGGUACUCGUUCUAAUGUUGAUGCUGUCUGUAUCCAUAGAUCCACUAAAUUGUACAACAAUAAUGUGGGGACUACCGGUUGUCCCAUACAUCUAAUCUCAACCUCAGCUUCACUAGCAAGGUCAAAUUUCUUC